ensembl:lncRNA
AAAGUGAGGCGGAAGAGCCACUGACCCUCCCCAGGGUGGGUGUCUGCAUCAGGUGUGGGGCCAAAGGAGAAGAGGGAAUGAGCCUUGAGCUGGCUGAGGUGAAGGUUUGCACUUAGAUUGGCCUGGAAUAUUUAAUGUCUGAAAAUCAGAAUCAUUGGUUAAUAUCUGAAAGUGACCAGAGCAUUUGGGGACCUUCCCAAGAUAUUGUCCCAGGAUGGGAAGAGAAAACCAAGAGCAAGAAGGUUUGAAAGGCAAGGGGGAGAAAAAAGGAAAGGUGACGUCCAGUUACACAAUCAGUCCAGGCAGUGAACCAGCGCCCUCUUUUACCCAGCCAUCACGCUCUCUGCCGAGCUGCUCUCACCUCUCUUGGGAAACAUGACACCUGCAUCUUAGCCUGCCAUCAUUUUACUAAAUUGCUUUUUUUCUGGGCCAGGAAGGAUGCCUCGGCACCACAGUGAGGGGAGAGGGUGAGGAAAAGGGCAGAAAUUCCAGAGGGGACCUCAGGAAUUAGGAGGACCGUGUGUGAACUGAACGACCUUUCAUGGCCUGCAUCUCUCGGGACUGGGCCUGAGCCGCUUUGGGGAACCAGGCCCAAACUCCACCACCAAAAAGGAAAAUACGGUGAGACUGAAAGGGAACAGCUUAGAACAUUCUCUCCACCUGGGUUUUCUUGACCUAAGCAGAUGGGAUGGCUUCUGUCUGACUCACCCUAAGCCUGACCUACUUGUGAAAUGCUUUCUGUACAAAAAGCUGGAGGUCUGGGCUUCCCAGGUGGCUUGGUGGUAAAGAAUCCAGCUGCUAAUAUAGGAGGCAGCUGCCAUGCAGGAGAUGCGUGUUUGAUCCCUAGGUUGAGAAGAUCCCUUGGAGAAGGAAAUGUCCAGUAUCCUUGCCAGGAUAAUCCCAUGGACACAGAAGCCUGGAAGGCUACGGUCCAUGAGGUCGCAAAGAGUCAGACAGCUGAGCCGACUAGGCACUCACGCCUGAGUUUAUUUCUGUCUUGUAAACAAGUUGAUUCGUAUGAUUUAGAUUCCACAUGGAAGUGCCAUCAUAUGAUACUUGUCUCUCUCUGUCUGACUUACUUCCCUGAGUAUGAUAAUCUCUGUGGUCCAUCGUUGGUGCUGAGGCCACCUGCAAUUUUGAUAAAUUACUAGAAGAACUUACCAAAUUCAACUGAGCUGUUAUAGCUAUGGUUUACUACCAGUACUCAUCCAAGGGAGGAAACACCUGUGCAGAAAUUUCCAAGAGAGGAACUCCCAGCUGUCCUCUCCCCGUGGAGUCCUGAACAGCACUGACUUCUCCUGGCAAUGAUGUGUGACAAUGCACCUGGGAUAUUGCCAACCAGGGAAGCCCACCUGAGCCUUGUUCUCCAGAACUUUCGUUUAGGUUCAGUCAGGUAGCCAGAGUGGACCACCUGCUUGGCUGACCUUUCAUCUCCAGCCCUCUGGAGUUUGAGUAUCUACAUGUGGCCCAGUUCAGUUCAGCCACUGAGUCGUGUCUGAUUCUUUGCAACCUCGUGAAUCACAGCACGCCAGGCCUCCCUGUCCAUC